rnacentral:misc_RNA from 1 species
CGAACGACGUAAACAACGCCAUGGCUGCGUCUCACUCUCACCUAGGCGGGAAACUCCUCAAAGUGGCGCCUACGCUUCUCCUCUUCUCCUUGGGAUUCGCGCUCGGCAUGGUCUCCAACUCCAAGUUCCCAAGCCUGUACCUCUCGUCCAUCUCGCGAUCGCCCUCUCCGGCGCCACCUCCGCCGGCGCCGGCACCGCCGCCGCUACCACCGCAAAACCCAGAAGUGGGGAUGGCACGGUUCCUGGAGCCGCGCAGCGUCACGCACAACAUGACCGACGAGGAGCUGCUGUGGUGGGCGUCCAUGACGCCCAAGGUCCGCAGCACGCCGUACCACCGCGCGCCCAAGGUCGCCUUCCUGUUCCUGGCGAGAGGGGACCUGCCGCUGCGGCCGCUGUGGGAGAAGUUCUUCGCCGGGCACCAAGGGCUGUACUCCAUCUACGUGCACACCGAUCCCUCCUACGCCGGCUCGCCGCCGGAGGACUCCGUCUUCUACGGCCGCAUGAUCCCAAGCCAGAAAACGAGGUGGGGAGACGUGAGCCUGGUGGCCGCGCAUCGCCGGCUGCUGGCGAACGCGCUCCUGGACGUCGGCAACGAGCGUUUCGCGCUGCUCUCCGAGUCGUGCAUCCCGCUCUACAACUUCACGGCCGUGUACGCCGUGCUCACCGGCACGGACACCAGCUUCGUGGACGCGGUCGUCACCCCGGCGCGCUACAGCGCCCUGUUCGCGGAGCGCAGCAACAUCACGGCCGCGCAGUGGCGCAAGGGCGAGGCGUGGUUCGAGAUGGACCGCGCGCUGGCGCUGGAGGUCGUCUCCGACGCCACCUACUUCCCCACGUUCCGCGAGCGCUGCGCGGGGCAGCGGGCGUGCCUCAUGGACGAGCACUACGUGCCGACGCUGCUGAGCGUGCUGCGCUGGCCGCGCGGCGCCAACCGCUCGCUCACCUUCGUGGACUGGGACCGGAGGCGCCGGACGGGGUUCCACCCGCACACGCACCGCGGCGAGGAGGUGACGCCGGAGCUGGUCGAGGAGAUCAGGGGAGGCGCGCGCGCCGGCAGGAACUGCAGCGCGUACCACGACGGGGCCAGCGGCGUCUGCUACGUCUUCGCGCGCAAGUUCACGCCCGACACGCUCCAGCCGCUGCUCCGGUUGGCUCCCAGGGUCAUGGGGUUCGGCUGAGACGAUCGAGUUUGUAUAUUGCUGACUUCCUCUGGUUGCUUGAUCAGAUGUUUUGUGGAGCUUUUCUUACUGUACGGAGUGUCAU